rnacentral:rRNA from 1 species
CUUUCUUUGCUGGCGACCGGCGCACGGGUGAGUAACACGUAUCCAACCUGCCCUUUACUCGGGGAUAGCCUUUCGAAAGAAAGAUUAAUACCCGAUGGCAUAGUUCUUCCGCAUGGUAGAACUAUUAAAGAAUUUCGGUCAUCGAUGGGGAUGCGUUCCAUUAGGUUGUUGGCGGGGUAACGGCCCACCAAGCCUUCGAUGGAUAGGGGUUCUGAGAGGAAGGUCCCCCACAUUGGAACUGAGACACGGUCCAA